UACAGAGGGGGCGAGCGUUGUUCGGAAUUACUGGGCGUAAAGGGCGCGUAGGCGGCCCGCUAAGUCGAACGUGAAAUCCCCAGGCUCAACCUGGGAACUGCGUCCGAUACUGGCAGGCUUGAAUCCGGGAGAGGGAUGUGGAAUUCCAGGUGUAGCGGUGAAAUGCGUAGAUAUCUGGAGGAACAUCGGUGGCGAAGGCGGCAUCCUGGACCGGUAUUGACGCUGAGGCGCGAAAGCCAGGGGAGCAAACGGG
rnacentral:rRNA from 1 species